rnacentral:misc_RNA from 1 species
UGGCUCUCGCAUCGAUGAAGAACGCAGCGAAAUGCGAUAAGUAAUGUGAAUUGCAGAAUUCAGUGAAUCAUCGAAUCUUUGAACGCACCUUGCGCUCCUUGGUACUCCGAGGAGCAUGCCUGUUUGAGUGUCAUGUAUUCCUCAGUCCUCUCAGAGUUUUUCUCUUGAGUCUGGACUGGACUUGGAGGCUGCUGGUUUUAUUUUAAAUCAGCUCCUCUUAAAUGAAUUAGUGUGAAUAUUGCCAAAUGUUCUCCAGUGUAAUAAUUAUUUGCGCUGCAUGAACUGAGGCAGAUUUAAUAUGUUCAUGCUUUCUAACCGUCCCCAGCGGACAAUAAUACUUUUUGACAUUUGACCUCAAAUCAGGUAGGACUACCCGCUGA